GCCUGGGUGGCUCAGUCGGUUAAACAUCUGACUUUGGCUCAGGUCAUGAUCUCGUGGUCGUGGGUUCAAGCCCCACAUCGGGCU
rnacentral:tRNA from 1 species